rnacentral:sRNA from 1 species
AAAGCCAAGCGCCAGAACAACACCUUCCCAUUCUUUUCUGAAGGAAUCACACGGAACCGAACUGCCCAGGAGAAAGUGGCAGCCUUGGAGCAACAGGUUCUGAUGCUCACCAAGGAGUUAAAGUCUCAGAAGGAGCUAGUGAAGAUCCUGCACAAGGCACUGGAGGCCGCCCAGCAGGAGAAGCGGGCGUCCAGCGCAUACCUGGCGGCGGCUGAGGACAAGGACCGGCUGGAGCUGGUGCGGCACAAAGUGCGGCAGAUCGCGGAGCUGCUGAGGCAGCUUGUCCAGGAGGCGCUGCAGUGGGAAGCUGGGGAGGCCUCAUCUGACAGCAUCGAGCUGAGCCCCAUCAGUAAGUAUGAUGAGUACGGCUUCCUGACGGUGCCCGACUAUGAGGUGGAAGACCUGAAGCUGCUGGCCAAGAUCCAGGCGUUGGAGUCACGAUCCCACCACCUGCUGGGCCUCGAGGCUGUGGAUCGGCCGCUGAGGGAGCGCUGGGCUGCCCUGGGCGAUCUUGUGCCCUCAGCCGAGCUCAAGCAGCUACUGCGGGCAGGAGUACCCCGUGAACACCGGCCUCGUGUCUGGAGGUGGCUGGUCCACCUCCGUGUCCAGCACCUGCACACUCCAGGCUGCUACCAGGAACUGCUGAGCCGGGGCCAGGCCCGCGAGCACCCUGCUGCCCGCCAGAUUGAGCUGGACCUGAACCGGACCUUCCCCAACAACAAACACUUCACCUGCCCCACCUCCAGCUUCCCCGACAAGCUCCGCCGGGUGCUGCUGGCCUUCUCCUGGCAGAACCCCACCAUCGGCUACUGCCAGGGCC